rnacentral:rRNA from 1 species
AUUGAACGCUGGCGGCAUGCUUUACACAUGCAAGUCGAACGGUAACAGGCCUUCGGGUGCUGACGAGUGGCGAACGGGUGAGUAAUGCAUCGGAACGUACCCAGAGGUGGGGGAUAACGCAGCGAAAGCUGUGCUAAUACCGCAUGUGAUCUGAGGAUGAAAGUGGGGGACCGGGCAGCAAUGUUUGGCCUCGCGCCUUUGGAGCGGCCGAUGUCGGAUUAGCUAGUUGGUGGGGUAAAGGCCUACCAAGGCGACGAUCCGUAGCUGGUCUGAGAGGACGACCAGCCACACUGGGACUGAGACACGGCCCAGACUCCUACGGGAGGCAGCAGUGGGGAAUUUUGGACAAUGGGCGCAAGCCUGAUCCAGCAAUGCCGCGUGCGGGAAGAAGGCCUUCGGGUUGUAAACCGCUUUUGGCAGGAACGAAACGGUGUCCGCUAAUACCGGGCGCUAAUGACGGUACCUGCAGAAUAAGCACCGGCUAACUACGUG